UACGGAGGGUGCAAGCGUUAAUCGGAAUUACUGGGCGUAAAGGGUGCGUAGGUGGUAUAUUAAGUUAUCUGUGAAAUCCCUGGGCUUAACCUGGGCAGGUCAGAUAAUACUGAUGUACUCGAGUAUGGGAGAGGGUAGUGGAAUUUCCGGUGUAGCGGUGAAAUGCGUAGAGAUCGGAAGGAACACCAGUGGCGAAGGCGGCUACCUGGCCUAAUACUGACACUGAGGCACGAAAGCGUGGGGAGCAAACAGG
rnacentral:rRNA from 1 species